CUAGUUUGAAGAUUUCCUCUGGGAGAUCGUCUUUUUCUAGUAAACCGUUUCCUAAAAUUUCCAUACUCUUAUCUGCUGGAGAACAUUCAUUUUCGGACUGUUUUUCUAUUUCAUCAGGAGGUUCGUCAUUUUCACAAGGGUGUCCUUUACAAGGUCCUUUACACUGCUUACAUUUUCGUGUCUUUUUGGUAACUUUUCCCUGCAUUUCGAUUCAAAACGUAUUUCGAAUUCUAAGGAUUUGUUUUGCGUUUGUUUUCACUGGG
rnacentral:lncRNA from 1 species